GACGAACGCUGGCGGCGUGCUUAACACAUGCAAGUCGAACGGAAAGGCCCUGCUUUUGUGGGGUGCUCGAGUGGCGAACGGGUGAGUAACACGUGAGUAACCUGCCCUUGACUUUGGGAUAACUUCAGGAAACUGGGGCUAAUACCGGAUAUGAGCUCCUGCUGCAUGGUGGGGGUUGGAAAGUUUCGGCGGUUGGGGAUGGACUCGCGGCUUAUCAGCUUGUUGGUGGGGUAGUGGCUUACCAAGGCUUUGACGGGUAGCCGGCCUGAGAGGGUGACCGGCCACAUUGGGACUGAGAUACGGCCCAGACUCCUACGGGAGGCAGCAGUGGGGAAUAUUGCACAAUGGGCGGAAGCCUGAGGCAGCAACGCCGCGUGCGGGAUGACGGCCUUCGGGUUGUAAACUGCUUUCGCCUGUGACGAAGCGUGAGUGACGGUAAUGGGUAAAGAAGCACCGGCUAACUACGUG
rnacentral:rRNA from 1 species